CCGGGCGGAAGUGAUGUCAAGGGAGGGCGCCGAGCGGCCGGAAGUACGCGCCGUCUCUAUAGCAACACGGGGGCUGCUGGCCAGGAAGUCUUUCCGGGAGUUGCUAUUUGGUUGAUAAAGUGCCGGGGUCCCAGGACGGUUGUCGGGUCCACGGUGUCGCAGACUAUAGCUGGUGGUCCCGUUCAUCCCCGGGCAGUAAAAAUCCGGCUUCAGACCCCUCAGAAAACUCUAGGAUGAUUUUUGGAGAAAGAAAAAAAAAUCUCAACGAUUUGAGUCUUGCCUGUAGGUGAAGAAAUAAAGAUCCACAGUAGAAAAACAAGUUUUUAGGAUGCCUGGAAAUAACACCAUGCCUGUCCUGGAAAGAAAUAACUAUUUCCAAACGGGCUUCACAUUUUCCUCAGCAAUGCAAAUUCCCGAGGACCUGUGUGUGGCGACCCACACACUGAAAAGCAUUGUAAGAGACACCAGACACGGGAAACUUCCAUCUCCCUUUGACUGCUUUACUUUCGAUUGCAAAGGAUCACCGAAUGGCAAGCAAUGGUUGCCUAAACUGAAGUAUAAACUGGUGAUCUAGAGCUUCCCAUGAUGCAUUUGGCCAACACAUAUACUUUGGUUAGACAGCACUAGUUGCCCCUUAGGGGGAAAAAUAUAUAUGUACUUGCUUA